rnacentral:rRNA from 1 species
AUUGAACGCUGGCGGCAGGCCUAACACAUGCAAGUCGAGCGGAAACGAUCCUAGCUUGCUAGGAGGCGUCGAGCGGCGGACGGGUGAGUAACGCGUGAGAAUCUACCCAUGAGUGGGGGACAACCCGGGGGAAACUCGGGCUAAUACCGCAUAUGCCCUACGGGGUAAAGCAGGGGACCUUCGGGCCUUGCGCUGAUGGAUGAGCUCGCGUCGGAUUAGCUUGUUGGUGAGGUAAAGGCUCACCAAGGCGACGAUCCGUAGCUGGUCUGAGAGGAUGAUCAGCCACACCGGGACUGAGACACGGCCCGGACUCCUACGGGAGGCAGCAGUGGGGAAUCUUGGACAAUGGGGGCAACCCUGAUCCAGCCAUGCCGCGUGUGUGAAGAAGGCCUUCGGGUUGUAAAGCACUUUCAGCAGGGAGGAAGGCUUACCCCUAAUACGGGUGAGUACUUGACGUUACCUGCAGAAGAAGCACCGGCUAAUUUCGUG